UACGUAGGAGGCAAGCGUUGUCCGGAAUUACUGGGCGUAAAGCGCGUGUAGGUGGUGGGACAAGUCUGCUGUGAAAGCGCCUGGCUUAACCGGGCGAGGUCGGCGGAAACUGUUCGACUCGAGGACGGUAGAGGGGGGGUGGAAUUCCCCGGUGUAGUGGUGAAAUGCGUAGAGAUCGGGAGGAACACCUGUGGCGAAGGCGGCCCCCCUGGGCCGGCCCUGACACUGAGACGCGAAGGCGUGGGGAGCGAACGGG
rnacentral:rRNA from 1 species